rnacentral:rRNA from 1 species
GUUUUUACUUGAGUGGCGGACGGGUGAGUAACACGUGCNAAUUCGCCUUUAGGCGGGGAAUAACUAUGGGAAACCAUAGCUAAUGCCCCAUAUGCUCGUAAGAGUGAAAGGAGCAAUCCACCCAAAGAGAAGCUCGCGGCUGAUUAGCUAGUUGGUAAGGUAAUGGCUUACCAAGGCGACGAUCAGUAGCUGGUUUGAGAGAACGAUCAGCCACACUGGAACUGAGACACGGUCCAGACUCCUACGGGAGGCAGCAGUGGGGAAUUUUCCGCAAUGGGCGCAAGCCUGACGGAGCAAUACCGCGUGAGGGAUGACGGCCUUUGGGUUGUAAACCUCUUUUAUCAAGGAGGAAGUUCUGACGUGUACUUGAUGAAUAAGCAUCGGCUAACUCCGUGCCAGCAGCCGCGGUAAGACGGAGGAUGCAAGUGUUAUCCGGAAUCACUGGGCGUAAAGCGUCUGUAGGUGGUUUAAAAAGUCUACUGUUAAAAAUUGAAGCUUAACUUCAAAGAUGCCGUAGAAACUUUUAAACUUGAGGAUGGUAGGGGUAGAGGGAAUUUCCAGUGGAGCGGUGAAAUGCGUAGAUCUUGGAAAGACCACCAAUGGCGAAGGCACUCUACUGGGCCAUGACUGACACUAAGAGACGAAAGCUAGGGGAGCAAAUGGGAUUANAACCCC